GAGGGUACAGCUCAGUGGUAGAGCACGUGCUCAGCAUGCACGAGGUCCUGGGUUCAAUCCCCACUACCGCCA
rnacentral:tRNA from 1 species